AUUGAACGCUGGCGGCAGGCCUAACACAUGCAAGUCGAGCGGAUGACGGGAGCUUGCUCCUUGAUUCAGCGGCGGACGGGUGAGUAAUGCCUAGGAAUCUGCCUGGUAGUGGGGGACAACGUUUCGAAAGGAACGCUAAUACCGCAUACGUCCUACGGGAGAAAGCAGGGGACCUUCGGGCCUUGCGCUAUCAGAUGAGCCUAGGUCGGAUUAGCUAGUUGGUGGGGUAAUGGCUCACCAAGGCGACGAUCCGUAACUGGUCUGAGAGGAUGAUCAGUCACACUGGAACUGAGACACGGUCCAGACUCCUACGGGAGGCAGCAGUGGGGAAUAUUGGACAAUGGGCGAAAGCCUGAUCCAGCCAUGCCGCGUGUGUGAAGAAGGUCUUCGGAUUGUAAAGCACUUUAAGUUGGGAGGAAGGGCAGUAAGCUAAUACCUUGCUGUUUUGACGUUACCGACAGAAUAAGCACCGGCUAACUCUGUGCCAGCAGCCGCGGUAAUACAGAGGGUGCAAGCGUUAAUCGGAAUUACUGGGCGUAAAGCGCGCGUAGGUGGUUUGUUAAGUUGGAUGUGAAAGCCCCGGGCUCAACCUGGGAACUGCAUCCAAAACUGGCAAGCUAGAGUACGGUAGAGGGUGGUGGAAUUUCCUGUGUAGCGGUGAAAUGCGUAGAUAUAGGAAGGAACACCAGUGGCGAAGGCGACCACCUGGACUGAUACUGACGCUGAGGUGCGAAAGCGUGGGGAGCAAA
rnacentral:rRNA from 1 species